GAGAAUCAUAUCGUUGCAUCUUCUCCAUGAAGCAUGAUCAUCUGGACGGCUCUUGGCAGACGGCAUUUUUAUUGUACCAUCUAUAAAACCCAACUUGGAUUUGGCGUUUAAAGAGAUGGUCAUGGCUCGGCACCGGGUCAAAUAAUUAUCGCCAUUGACAGGCUUGGGAACAAGGACCAAUCCUGGAUGAUCGGAAUGGUAGAGAAAAAAAGGAUCAACGGCAUUAUUCUUGCCUUCAUUGUUCUUAUCUUCCUUCGAAGAUUGCUCGCACUCCAUGAUGAGGAGCAAUGGCAGAGGAAAGAAAAAUUGAGAUGCCAAAAAAAGCAAAGAGCUAGGGUAUGUCUUCCUGCUCUGAUACCAUGUAAAAUAGGGAAGAAAGAU
rnacentral:lncRNA from 1 species